AACGAACGCUGGCGGCAUGCCUAACACAUGCAAGUCGAACGAUUGCCUUCGGGUGAUAGUGGCGCACGGGUGCGUAACGCGUGGGAAUCUGCCCUUAGGUUCGGAAUAACAGCUGGAAACGGCUGCUAAUACCGGAUGAUAUCGCGAGAUCAAAGAUUUAUCGCCUGAGGAUGAGCCCGCGUUGGAUUAGGUAGUUGGUGGGGUAAAGGCCUACCAAGCCGACGAUCCAUAGCUGGUCUGAGAGGAUGAUCAGCCACACUGGGACUGAGACACGGCCCAGACUCCUACGGGAGGCAGCAGUGGGGAAUAUAGGACAAUGGGCGCAAGCCUGAUCCAGCAAUGCCGCGUGAGUGAUGAAGGCCCUAGGGUUGUAAAGCUCUUUUACCCGGGAAGAUAAUGACUGUACCGGGAGAAUAAGCCCCGGCUAACUCCGUG
rnacentral:rRNA from 1 species